rnacentral:rRNA from 1 species
AUUAGUUAAAUUCUUGAAACUCAAAAAAUUUGGCGGUAUUUUAGUCUAUUCAGAGGAACCUGUAACGUAAUUGAUAAUCCACGUUGGACCUUACUUAAUUUUGUUUUCAAUUUGUAUACCGCCGUUAUUAAAAAUUUUAUAAGAAAAAUAAUUUUUAAAAAUUUAAAAAAGAAAAUAAAUCAGGUCAAGGUGCAGUUUAUAAUUAAGUGUUAUAUGGGUUACAAUAAAUUUAUUUAUGUGAAUUAAUAUUUGAAAUAAAGUUAUGAAAUUGGAUUUGAUAGUAAUUUUUAAUAGAUUAUAAAAUUGAUUUUAGCUCUAAAAUAUGCACCCAUCGCCCGUCACUUUUACUAUUAAUGUAAGAUAAGUCGUAACAUAGUAGAUGUACCGGAAGGUGUAUCUAGAAAGACAAUUUAAAGCUUAUUAAGUAAAGUAUUUCAUUUACAUUGAAAUGAUUAUUGAGCAAAUCAAUAUGAAUUGAUGAAAUAAAAUUAUUAAUAUUUUAUUUAUAUUGUUUUAUUAAAAAUAAUUUUUAUUUUGUUUAAGUAUUUUUUAAAGAAUAAAUAAUUUUUAUUAUAGAGGAUUAAUUGUACUGUGAAGGAAUUUGAAA